UAGACCUUGGAUCAGGAUGAAUGGUAGCUCAGAUGAAUGCAUUUGUGCCAUUUUUCUUGGCCCCAGACUAUGUUUCCUCACUACCAUGACAUCUGAACAGAAGGAGAAAACAUCUCCCUUUUGUAGCAGACUAAUUUAAUUUGUACCUUCCACCUAGGGAUGUCAAAGGCUUGUUGUUUCCGAGAAAAGAUGGUUUAAAAGAGAAGGCUUUGGGCUGUUUUACCCACAGAAGAUGUGCAUUCGUUUUAAAAUAAGGAAGAAAAAAAAUCUUGAAGCUUCUACAUGGACCUAUAUCCUUUCAAAUCCAUACUACAAGUCAUUGAUCUUUAUUUUUAGUUGAUCUUGGGUAUUAUUCGUAAAUUUACCUUGUUUAAUGUACAGAGUUGUCAACUAUUUUAAACAACCAACAAUACAUCUUUUCCUUACUAAAAUAGCAUUAAUACAUAACUCAAAAAUUAAAUAUAUUUAGGUGUUUGAUCUAGGCAUUGUAACAAUGUCUUAAGGUAUCUCAAAUAUCAGAACAAGGCUCAAACUAAAAUUAUGGCUAGUAAGAAAAACAGUCUAUUUAUUGAAAAAAAAGGCUUAAAUAAAGGAGUUUCUUUUUCCAGUAAAUGGACAUCAAAAUUCAUUGUUUAUUUAAUUCUUGUAAUAGUUUUUAAUGCACUUGAAGGAAAAAUGACUUCUUUUUCUUAUGGUUGUAAGUACACAUUCUAUUUAAAUUUUCUCUCAUAGUACUUAUAUCUCUACAUCCUAUUUAAUAUUUAGAGUUCUGUGACAAUUCGACAUUAUAAGAUAUAAGAUUUAUCCUUGAUAUUAUAUCAUGGAACAAUUUGAUGUUUAAAAAAGAAAAUAAUUUGUUAACAUUAUUUUAUUGCUUCAUAUUCAAUGUAAAAACCUAUCUGGGAAUAAUACUAAACAGAGCAAUCUUAUUUUUUGGUUCUAUAUAAUAAUAGUUGCUUUUCUGUGCAUAUACUUAAAUAUUAAUAUGAAUUAUAUAAUACUAAUGAUACCACUGCAUUAAUUGAACUUGAAUUCUGAACUAUAUGAAGUUAGUUCACAAGAUAAAGAAGCAUAUUAAAUGAUUUUAUUUUAUUGACCAAACAUUUAAACUUUCUUAGAUUCAAAAUAUUUAAGUAUCUUUAUAUAAAACUACAUAUUAAAAAUCAUGGAGAGAUAAGGCUUUUCCUAAAGAAGAAUUAAUGGAAAAGAAUAUUACAGUUGGGUAUAAGAAUUUGACAUUGUCUUGAGUAAGUCUCAGUUUUGUACUUCAGAUCCAGGUUUCUUCUAAAUAUGUCAAAUAAUUUGCUAGAAUGAUCACUAAACAGAUUCAUUCCUAAUAAAUAAGUUUCCAUAAGGGAGCAAACUCUAUUUCAUGUGAUUUAAGUAAAAAUUUAAGCAUUUGAUUUGUUUCUAGGAAAAUUUUUAUGUUUUCAAUACAAAUGCCUACAUCAGGAGAAAAGCACCUAGUGUAAUAAUGUGGUAUUUCCAACUUAAUCCAAAUGCACAUUCAAGCUAGCCCUAGUCCAUUAGAAUCUAAACAUGAGGUUGGCGGAAGAUUUCUGCAUAUGGCCAGAUAAUCAAUAUUUUAGACUUUAUGGGCCACGUAUGGUCUCUGUCACAUAUCCCUCUUUGUUUUGUUUUAUAACUCUUUAAAAAUUUAAAAACCAUCCUUAGUUUGAGGGCCAUUCAAAAACAGACCACAGGCUGAAUUUAGAUUGCUGGUUGCCUAGUUUGUCAACCCUUAGUUUAGGCUUUUAAGGCCUUGUUUAAUGGAGCAAAACAUCUGCUAUACUCACAUAUCAUUAUACAGAAGCUCAUUUCAAGCUUAAGGUUUCUUUCUUGGUUUAUUUUAUAUUAUGCUAUGAGUCAUACAAAAUUACCUGACCUAUAAAAUAAUCUGAUCUAUCUAUAUAGAUACUAUAAUUGGUGGACUUAAAAAAAACAAAUUUCAGUACUUAUGCAUAACAACCCAACAUCACUCAAACUAUUACACACACACACACACACACACACACACACACAGAUACACACACACACAUCUUUCUGUACAUGAUAUUUUUUUAUUGGAAAAUGAAUUUUGCUGCUGUUGGGGUAAUAAUGGUGGAGGAGGGGGCUGGGUGUCUUUCACAGAGGAUUACCUUUUCCAUGUUGCUACAAAGUGAAAGAGACUAUGUAAACCAUUGGAGAUAUUUAGUGCAUUUUAAGAUAAAAUCCCAUAUUCUUUUAAUUAUAAAUAAACACAAUAUUUAGAAGAACUUAGGAUAUUUUGCCAUAAUUAUUUUUAACAUAUCAGUAAAAUAUUAUUUUUUUUAAUCUUCAGACUAAUAUGAUAAGCAUUGCCUCUGACAUAUCUCUGUAUGGGUGGCUUUCUUUAAAUAAAAACAUUUUGACAAAGUAAAGAUUAUCUAUAAAAUACCAAAACAUAUCAUUCAGCUUACCUUCCCCACCAUUAUUGUCAACACAGUGUAUGUUUCACAACUGUGCUUUUGGGCCAGAUUUCCUUCAGAUCUGCAGAGCUGUGAUCUUCAUUGCAUUGCCUGUCCCUCGCAGGUUCUGUGCUUGCUGGGCUCACACCAUGCUCUCUCCCAGUGUCUGGAGAUGGAUGCUCAGUGAGCAAGUGCUGAAUGUGAAAUAGACACAGUGUGGUGAAGGGAAGAGAAUUUUGCCUUUAGGCAGGUUGCUAUUUUAAAUGCAGUGCCAAAGAUAUUAUUUCAUUUUACAGCAAUACUUAAGCUCUAACAUUUUAUCUUAAAACAAAAGAGAGCAUGGUCUGAUGGCCAGAGGGUUGAGCCCUACCAACAGCAGCAAUUUGAAGAUUAUUCAGACUCUGCCAGAGGCAGCUGGGAAAGGAAGGAUAUGAAUCUAAUGGGGAGUCUUUACCUUAAAGUAUUAUAAGACCCAUUGAGCAGCAGGCAAAAAAACCUGUAGGGAUGCAUAUUUAGUUGGUGUUUUAUUGAGUAUCUUUAUUUUUUUCACCAAAGGUUAUUUUGUACCUACCAUAUAUAUGGCAGGGAUUGCAUUUGGCCUCAGGGAUAUCAAAAUGAAAAAGACUGUUCUUGCCCUCAGGUAUCUCAGAAUCUUCUUCUUUUCAUUGUUUUUUAGUAAAAUAUCUUUUAAAAUCAUAUCUCUAUAAGUGAUCCAUGAUCCUAAAUUAUAUGAUAAAUUUUAAGUCUUCUAAAUAUCAUGAUUUUGCAAAUAAUAGAACUUAGUAUACUUUUUUUGGUAAUCAUAGUGAACUUGAUUAGAUAGCAUAGGAGUGGAAAGAUCCACUUAUCUAUAUGAAACAUUCUCUGUGUGUACAUUCCUGUGUGGCCCAUUCAAUAGAGAGACCCAUAGCUUUCUUCUUUGCCUCAGAAUUCCUUGAUCCAAGAGGGAUUAAUAAACACUGAAUUAGAUUAUAUAUUUCUUAAAGGCAGGGACUCUCUUACAAAAAAAAAAUAGAAUGCCAAUUUACUUAUGUACCAGUUGACCAAAGUUUUGAGUUCAUAGUUGGCCACAUUCUUGCACUGUAGGUAUUACCAGCCAAGGCAUUAAAAUUAUAAACAUCCUCUAUAAACUUUUAUGUCCAAGCAAUCUCUUUCCAAGUCUUAAUGAUUUAGAUAAGAUUUCUGAUGUUUUGUAGGAUUAUCUCAAAUUGUAUUUUACUAACAAAAGUGGGAAAAUGGUAUCAGACUAAUUAUGUUGAAGGGUGAUCAUUUUUGAAUGCUCAAGAUGUAUUUAUGAGAAUGCUAUUAAAUUAAAACCUUCACUAUUCAUUAUAAACAUUUAACAUAAGACAGAGGGUAUUUUCACCCAUGAGUGCUUUUUAAAAAUAAUGCUUUGAGCUCAGUAUACAUUGGAAAGCAAGACUGCAAGCCCUCUCACUGAAGAGUAAGAUCUGAGGGGAAUAUUUUUGCAUACUCAGUAUCCAGCACUGUAUUUAUCAUACAGUGGGAACAAAGUAAAAUUCUUUUGACUUAUUGAAUAACAGAAUGAAUGAAGAUGUUCUGACUAAAGAAAAAAAUUGGAUGGAGUGUAUGGGUGAAUUUUAAGUUCCUAGAGUGAAAUUUGGAUAUUCAUUUUAAGGGGAAUACAUAUUCUGGAGUUUUUAUCUUUAAAAAUUCUACUCAUACAUUAAGAUAAAACAAGGGAAAAAAACCAAAUGGAAAUGAAACAAAAAAA